GGGAUCCACAGUCUACAAAACCCCACAUCCCCUGAGAAUUCUCUCGCCUGCCUUAGGCACUUAGGCUCCGGGAGAUUGCAAAUAACCUGCUUUCUUUCUGUUCCCGGGCUGCGUUCGGACUCCUGUCAGAUAGUAAAUCCUAAGUGGCGUCGGACCCCUGUCAGAGAGUAAAUCUCAAGUAAGGUACCUGCCAUCGGCAGAUUUGAGCUUUCUUCUUGGACACCUAAUACCCACAGUCCUCCAGGCUCCGGUAGACUGCAAAUGACCUGCUUUCUUUCUGUUCCCGGGCUGCGUUUGGACCCCUGUCGGAUAGUAAAUCCCAAGCUCCGGUAGACUGCAAAUGACCUGCUUUCUUUCUGUUCCCGGGCUGCGUUUGGACCCCUGUCGGACAGUAAAUCCCAAGUAAGGUACCUGCCCUCGGCAGAUUUGAGCUUUCUUCUUGGACACCUAAUACCCACAGUCCUCCAGGAAUGGAACAGAUAAGAAGAUACUGAAAUUGGACGGUGCUGCCGUGCGGCUGCCGCAGGACACCUUUAAUAUCCCUGUUUCUCAGGCUGUAGAUGAAGGGGUUCAGCAUGGAGGUGAUCACCGUGUACAUCACUGAGGCCACUGCAGCCUUUCUCGGGGAAGAUGACACAUCUGAACUGAGGUACCCUCCAAAGCCUGUUCCGUAAAAUCAGCAAACAACUGACAGGAUAACUUCAGGAAGUGGGUAUUAAUUCUCACGGUAUAAGUGAAGACAUUAAGCACCAGAGUUUAAGUAGCUUGAUCCACUGAAAGAGAUUCAACUGUGUGGAACCUAUGCCGUGGAGAAUUGCUUUCUGCCAUUGUUAUCGUCCAGCAGUUGCCGAAUAGCUCUGACCUGAGCAAAGCAGUGAAACGCGGUGCUGUUGAGUGGGUUGCCACUGCACCUUUUUCAACUACUCUAGUCUUGUGGAGAAAAUACCCCUUCUAAAUUUUUUCUUCAUUGAAUACUCUCCCUCAGCUCCAGAGUACCAUAUAGAGUUUUCUUGUAUUUUAGAGUUACUGUUUUAUCAAAGUUUACCAGUCUUUUGUAUUACAUUUCUCCUGUCUAAAUCGACUGUGUGGUUUCUACUCAUUAUGGAUAUAGAUUGAUACAAACUCAAUAAAUAUUUUUGAAUGAAUAA
rnacentral:lncRNA from 1 species